rnacentral:rRNA from 1 species
GAUGAACGCUAGCUACAGGCUUAACACAUGCAAGUCGAGGGGAAACGAUAUUGGAAGCUUGCUUCUGAUAGGCGUCGACCGGCGCACGGGUGAGUAACGCGUAUCCAACCUGCCCAUCACUUGGGGAUAACCUUGCGAAAGUAAGACUAAUACCCAAUGACGUCUCUAGAAGACAUCUGAAAGAGAUUAAAGAUUUAUCGGUGAUGGAUGGGGAUGCGUCUGAUUAGCUUGUUGGCGGGGUAACGGCCCACCAAGGCGACGAUCAGUAGGGGUUCUGAGAGGAAGGUCCCCCACAUUGGAACUGAGACACGGUCCAAAACUCCUACGGGAGCAGCAGUGAGGAAUAUUGGUCAAUGGACGAGAGUCUGAACCAGCCAAGUAGCGUGCAGGAUGACGGCCCUAAUGGGUUGUAAAACUGCUUUUAUAAGGGAAUAAAGUGGGAGUCGUGACUCUUUUUGCAUGUACCUUAUGAAUAAGGACCGGCUAAUUCCGUGCCAGCAGCCG